CCUACGGGAGGCAGCAGUCGAGAAUCAUUCACAAUGGGGGAAACCCUGAUGGUGCGACGCCGCGUGGGGGAAUGAAGGUCUUCGGAUUGUAAACCCCUGUCAUGUGGGAGCAAAUUAAAAAGAUAGUACCACAAGAGGAAGAGACGGCUAACUCUGUGCCAGCAGCCGCGGUAAUACAGAGGUCUCAAGCGUUGUUCGGAAUCACUGGGCGUAAGGCGUGCGUAGGCUGUUUCGUAAGUCGUGUGUGAAAGGCGCGGGCUCAACCCGCGGACGGCACAUGAUACUGCGAGACUAGAGUAAUGGAGGGGGAACCGGAAUUCUCGGGGUAGCAGUGAAAUGCGUAGAUAUCGAGAGGAACACUCGUGGCGAAGGCGGGUUCCUGGACAUUAACUGACGCUGAGGCACGAAGGCCAGGGGAGCGAAAGGGAUUAGAUACCCCAGUAGUC
rnacentral:rRNA from 1 species